UACGUAGGGGGCAAGCGUUGUCCGGAACCAUUGGGCGUAAAGAGCGUGUAGGCGGCUCGAUAAGUCUGCUGUGAAAGUCCAGGGCUCAACCCUGGAAGGCCGGUGGAAACUGUCGGGCUAGAGUCCGGAAGAGGCGAGUGGAAUUCCCGGUGUAGCGGUGAAAUGCGCAGAUAUCGGGAGGAACACCAAUGGCGAAGGCAGCUCGCUGGGACGGUACUGACGCUGAGACGCGAAAGCGUGGGGAGCAAACAGG
rnacentral:rRNA from 1 species